UACGUAGGGUGCAAGCGUUAAUCGGAAUCACUGGGCGUAAAGCGCACGUAGGCGGAUUUGUAAGUCAGGGGUGAAAUCCCGGGGCUCAACCUCGGAACUGCCUUUGAUACUGCGAAUCUUGAGUCCGAUAGAGGUGGGUGGAAUUCCUAGUGUAGAGGUGAAAUUCGUAGAUAUUGGGAAGAACACCAGUGGCGAAGGCGGCUAUCUGGACGGUUUCUGACACUAAGACUCGAAAGCGUGGGGAGCAAACAGG
rnacentral:rRNA from 1 species